GACACUCUGCCGCUGGGUAAUGGAGACUGGGCUCCCAAUUCCCUGCUGUAUCUCCCUCUGGGGAAUGGAGACUGGGCUCCCAAUUCCCGGCACAUCACUCGGCCGCUGGGGAAUGGAGACUGGGCUCCCAAUUCCCCAAAAAUCACGCUGCUGCUGGGGGGCAGGCACAACUACCUCUGCCCCCUGUAGCUCAGCCUGCCGCUGGGGAGGGAGGACGCUGCUCUCCUCUCCCUGCACUUUACACUGCCGCUGGGGAAUGGAGACUGGGCUCCCAAUUCCCGGCAUAUCACAC